AUUGAACGCUGGCGGCAGGCCUAACACAUGCAAGUCGAGCGCGCGUGGCACGGGUGUGAAAAGUAUGGGGGCUGCCCGAUAGAGGGGGAUAACUACUGGAGACGGUAGCUAAUACCGCAUAUUAUCGGAUAAUCCAUAUGGGAUUAGAUAGUAGGUGGGGUAAUGGCUCACCUAGGCGACGAUCCCUAGCUGGUCUGAGAGGAUGACCAGCCACACUGGGACUGAGACACGGCCCAGACUCCUACGGAGGCAGCAGUGGGGAAUAUUGCACAAUGGGCGCAAGCCUGAUGCAGCCAUGCCGCGUGUAUGAAGAAGGCCCUAGGGUUGUAAAGUACUUUCAGUCGGGAGGCGUUACCGGCAGAAGAAGCACCGGCUAACUCCGUGCCAGCAGCCGCGGUAAUAC
rnacentral:rRNA from 1 species